GGAGGGUGAUAUGGUGGUCACCCUAUUGAUUCCCAGGGUUUGAUUUGGCUGAUCUGGCUGGCUAGGCAGGUGUCUCUUCCCUCCCUCC
rnacentral:sRNA from 1 species